UCUCUCUAAGACUGCCUUUUUCAUAAUCAUUGUGUUUGUUUAUCUGAAAUGGAAUUCAUAUAGAUAAGGAAUGGGGAUAGUGCAAGGGUAGCUAUUAACCAUUCAAAAGACAACACAAUGGGAAUGAAUCAUCUACCCCCACGCCCUGAUUCUGAGGCUUGUUUUUGCAUUGUUUUUAUCCUCUAAAUAAAAAGAAGGGAAAAAUUCUAAGAAAGAUAAGCUCCUUAUGGCUAGUAAAGUUGAGAAUCAUCAUGAUACAAUGUUUAGACCACAAGUCUGGGAUGGAAGUGGGAACAAUUCAGAAAUGCUGUGCCAAAUUCUCCUUUUGUUCUUUGGCUUGCAGUAUGUUAGGACCAAGGGUAUUUGAAAGAUCAGCAUUUUAUAGGCUGAGAAAUGAAGACCUAGAGAAGGAAUAUGAUGAAUACAUGAAAAGCAAUAAGAAAAGUGUGUGUGUGCAUGUAUAUACAUACAUACAUAUGUAUAUAUGUUGAGGUAUAUGAGGAAGCCAUUUGGUUUAAAACUAAUUUGGCCUGACCUGUUUUUAUCCAGAAAGGCCUAAUGUGGCCUGCCAAGCAUGCCUUGUGUCUCUGCUUUAAACAUUUACAAAGCAAAGAAUGAUGCCUUUAAAGAUACGGAUGAGUGCCUCCCCCCAUAUAAGCGUUUCUUUAAAGAUACGCGUUUCUUCCCAGAAACUAAUGGUCAAACUGACCCAUUGUGCAGAUGUUGUGACCACUGAUCUGCUGUGUUAGCAAAACAUCUUGUGACUGUAGGAAAAAGAGAGAUUCCUAUCAUGUUUGAUGUAUGUUCUUGUUCCAACACGUUAUAUAACCACACUGUACACCUUGCUUCUUCAGAAUGACUCCUUCCUUGGUGAAGGUGCUCGCUCGUGCUAUAUAGUCCUCAGACUGACUCAUGUAAUAAAUGCAUCCUAAUUUUGAUUUAUAGAUUGAUUAUUAACUAUUUGUGUUGAUGUUUCUGGCGUAGUCACAGCAGGAUUUUCACAGUAACCCAAUGGAGACCACCUGGAAUCUACAUUGAACCAGCAUUCAGUACCAAUGAACACCCCCCAACCCCAGCACAGCUUCUCUGCAUUCUUCAAGCACCCCAUCAUUAUCUUAAUCCUGCUACCUUAAUUCAAGCACCACAGGAGGAAAAGGACCAUGACUGCAUUUUAUUAUAUAAUUUGGUUCACAGAUGGGUCUUACUUAGAAGGCUCAAGAAAUUGCCAUGGAAGAAGAGGAACAAAUGUGACAACAAAAAGGGGGAAUUUUUGAUACCACCAUGCAGAUGUGGCUCAGGCCCAAUAAAAAUAGUGCCUAUUGGAUGACAAUUGCUACUGCUCCCGCAUAUUCAUCAAUUAACCCAUUGGGAACCUGAAAUGAGGAUUUUAUAGGGAAAACAAUACUUUCAGAAACUUUCUCCCACAGUAGCUCAUAAAGCCUAUGCUCAUUGUGCUAUACGCCCAAAGGAUAAUCCAGGAAAACCACUCAUGGGUCACAAGGCCACUUUCCCCUUCCCAAGGGACCCUUUGAGGUAUGGCAGUCGGACUUUGUUCAAAUGCCACCCUCUCAAGGGUAUAAGUAUAUCUUAGUAGUGAUCUGUAUGUUCUUGCAUUGGGUUGGGGCCUUUCCUUGUAGAAGGGCAAUGGCUUUAGCAGUAGGUAAAUUAUUAUUGGAAUGGACAACUUCUGUUUGGGGAAUUCCUACUAGAUUACACAGUGACCAGGGAACUGAUUUCACUGCACAAAUAAUCAAAUCUAUUUGUAAUAUUUGGUCAAUAAUGCGGCAUUUUAACUAAUGGCACAAUUCAAACUCAAUUGGCAAAGCUUUCAGAAGCAUUUAAUCUCUCAUGGCCAAAAGCUCUUCCACUAGUGCUCCACAAUCUUACACCUGUUGGUAAACAUUUGCUGUCUCCCUUUGAAAUAAUAAUAGGACAACUUAUGCAAUUAGAUGAGGGACUAUAUGAACCAACUUUGCUCAAGGGAGAUAUAUUACAUUAUUGUCAGGAUCUCACUGAGACACUUAAAAGAAAUGAAAUGUUGGUAGCUGAUUCCUUUCACAGUGAGCUCCUGAGAGAUGAAGACCUUAAGGAUCAUGGACUACAAUCUGGAGAUUUUGUUUAUUGGAAAACACACCAGAAAACGACUCUUUACAGCCCCAUUGGAAAGGACCAUCCUAGGAUGAGAAGAUAGAAUCUGUUACAGACAACUGUCCCAAGACUCUGGACCAGGCCUGUAUUCCCAACCUUGUAUGUCCUCAUUUAAAUCCUUGUAAUGCUUAAACUGUAUACCCAUUUUAUAAUUGCUACAAUAAUUGCUCUUGGUGAGUGAGUUCUUGGACCACAUCUGUUCUAUAAUUAUAAACAAUGUAAUUAUAAAAAGUCAUGUUAAAGCACAUGUGCGAUGUACAACAAUCUAAAAUUAAUUGAAAAAUUAUGUAACCUAUGAAAUACUUUCUCUGUUAAUAUAUGUUUCUAUGCUUGUCCACAAUAUCCAAUUGUUUUCCCCUAAUGUGGAUAACUGGGCAAAUCAAUGAAAUAAAAGCCUAGCACCAAGGGACAUGAUGGACCCAGGGCAAGCAGCAACCACCCUGACACUGAGAAACAAUAUUUUGAUCAUCAAUGCUUUCUAUCAAAAGAUUAUUGAUCAAAAGGGGAAAAAUGAUGAAUAAAUGAAAGCAAUAAGAAAAGAUAUAUAUAUAUAUAUCAGGAAGCCAUUUGGUUUAAAACUAAUAUGGCUUGACCUUGUUUUUUCCAGAAAGGCCUGACGUGGCCUGUCAAGCAUGCAUUGUACAUCUGCUUAAAUCAUUUACAAAGCAGAGAAUGAUGCCUUUAAAGAUAGGGAUGUGUGCCUUCCUCCCCCCCCCAUAUAUGCAUUCUUUUAAGGAUAAGCCUGUCUUCCCAGAAAUUAAGGGUCAAAUUGACCUACUGUGUAUAUUUUAUGACCCCUGACCUACUGAACACUGACCUGCUGUGCUCAUCUUGUGACCAGUGAACUGCUGUGCUAGCAAGACAUCUUGUGGCUGUGGUAAAAAGAGAUAUUCUUGUCAUAUUUGAUGUAUGUUUCUUGUCCCAAGAUGGUAUAUAACCACAGUGUACACCACACUUCUCCAGAGUCCUUCCUUCCUUGGUGAAGGUGCUCUCUCAGGCUGUGUAGUCCUCAGACUGUUUCAUAUAAUAAACUCACCCCAAUUUUGAUUUAUAGAUUGAUUAUUUGUGUCAACAAAUCUAAUUUGCCCAAGUUCACACAGAUGUGUUGAGGCACAUGAUUUCGUGAUUUAUAGGGGAUGAAGCAGGAGGAGCAAAGCUCUAAGAUGUGAGAGAUAGUACCUUGUCUGCUGAACUAUCCCAGUGGUGAGGGAUAUUUCUCUGAGACUUGAGCUACAAAAUAGAGCAGAGGCAGGAAGGAGUAAUUUCAGCCUACUUCCUCUCUUCUCAGAUUAAGCCUUUGCCUCUUCCCUCCCAAGAUUUUGCCCUCAAGGCCUCCAAGACCUGCUGUCAUUUCCUGCUGACCCUACUCCCCAACAUUUUCCCCAUGUGCUAUCUCCUUACUCCUCCUCAGAAAUAAUAAUAAAAUAGCCAUUUUUAUCAAACAUCCAUUAGAAUUGCCAAGCCCAGAGCACUCCACUUC
ensembl:lncRNA